GUGGGGAAUAUUGCACAAUGGGGGAAACCCUGAUGCAGCAACGCCGCGUGAGUGAAGAAGUAUUUCGGUAUGUAAAGCUCUAUCAGCAGGGAAGAGAAUGACGGUACCUGACUAAGAAGCCCCGGCUAACUACGUGCCAGCAGCCGCGGUAAUACGUAGGGGGCAAGCGUUAUCCGGAUUUACUGGGUGUAAAGGGAGCGUAGACGGCUUUGCAAGUCUGAAGUGAAAGCCCGCGGCUUAACCGCGGAACCGCUUUGGAAACUGCAUAGCUAGAGUGCUGGAGAGGUAAGCGGAAUUCCUGGUGUAGCGGUGAAAUGCGUAGAUAUCAGGAGGAACACCGGUGGCGAAGGCGGCUUACUGGACAGUCACUGACGUUGAGGCUCGAAAGCGUGGGGAGCAAACAGG
rnacentral:rRNA from 1 species